rnacentral:rRNA from 1 species
UGUUCAUGGCUCAGGACGAACGCUGGCGGCGUGCCUAAUACAUGCAAGUCGAGCGAGGGUCUUCGGACCCUAGCGGCGGACGGGUGAGUAACACGUAGGCAACCUGCCUGUAAGACUGGGAUAACAUAGGGAAACUUAUGCUAAUACCGGAUAGGGUUUUGCUUCGCCUGAAGCGAAACGGAAAGAUGGCGCAAGCUAUCACUUACAGAUGGGCCUGCGGCGCAUUAGCUAGUUGGUGAGGUAACGGCUCACCAAGGCGACGAUGCGUAGCCGACCUGAGAGGGUGACCGGCCACACUGGGACUGAGACACGGCCCAGACUCCUACGGGAGGCAGCAGUAGGGAAUUUUCCACAAUGGACGAAAGUCUGAUGGAGCAACGCCGCGUGAACGAUGAAGGCUUUCGGGUCGUAAAGUUCUGUUGUUAGGGAAGAAACAGUG